ACAGCAGUAGCCGCGGUAAUACGUAGGGUGCAAGCGUUAAUCGGAAUUACUGGGCGUAAAGCGCACGUAGGCGGCUUUGUAAGUUAGAGGUGAAAGCCUGGAGCUCAACUCCAGAAUUGCCUUUAAGACUGCCGAGCUAGCAGGUGAGAGAGGUAAGUGGAAUUCCGAGUGUAGAGGUGAAAUUCGUAGAUAUUCGGAAGAACACCAGUGGCGAAGGCGGCUUACUGGCUCAUACUGGACGCUGAGGUGCGAAAGCGUGGGGAGCAAACAGGAUUAGAUACCCGAGUAGUCCCUGUCUCUUAUAC
rnacentral:rRNA from 1 species